GCCGCGGUAAUACGUAGGUGGCAAGCGUUGUCCGGAAUUACUGGGCGUAAAGAGCGCGUAGGCGGGCGCUUAAGUCAGGGGUGAAAACUGGCAGCUCAACUGCCAGCCUGCCUUUGAGACUGGGCGUCUUGAGGACAGGAGAGGAGAGCGGAAUUCCUAGUGUAGCGGUGAAAUGCGUAGAUAUUAGGAGGAACACCAGUGGCGAAGGCGGCUCUCUGGCCUGUAACUGACGCUGAGGCGCGAAAGCGUGGGGAGCGAACGGGAUUAGAUACCCCGGUAGUCCACGCCGUAAACGAUGGGUACUAGGUGUAGGAGGUAUCGACCCCUUCUGUGCCGUAGUUAACACAAUAAGUACCCCG
rnacentral:rRNA from 1 species